rnacentral:tRNA from 2 species
GCCGAGGUGGCGAAAUAGCAAACGCACAGGACUUAAAAUCCUGCGGGUGAAAACCCUUGAGGGUGCAAGUCCCUCCCCCGGCACAA